rnacentral:rRNA from 1 species
GUGGGGGAUAUUGCACAAUGGGGGAAACCCUGAUGCAGCGACGCCGCGUGGAGGAAGAAGGUUUUCGGAUUGUAAACUCCUGUCGUUAGGGACGAUAAUGACGGUACCUAACAAGAAAGCACCGGCUAACUACGUGCCAGCAGCCGCGGUAAAACGUAGGGUGCAAGCGUUGUCCGGAAUUACUGGGUGUAAAGGGAGCGCAGGCGGACCGGCAAGUUGGAAGUGAAAACUAUGGGCUCAACCCAUAAAUUGCUUUCAAAACUGCUGGCCUUGAGUAGUGCGGAGGUAGGUGGAAUUCCCGGUGUAGCGGUGGAAUGCGUAGAUAUCGGGAGGAACACCAGUGGCGAAGGCGGCUUGCUGGACAGUAACUGACGUUGAGGCUCGAAAGCGUGGGGAGCAAACAGGAUUAGAUACCCGUGUAGUCC